GCCUAUAGCUCAGUUGGUUAGAGCAGAGGACUCAUAAUCCUUUGGUCCACGGUUCAAGUCCGUGUGGG
rnacentral:tRNA from 1 species